rnacentral:rRNA from 2 species
UAGGGAAUCUUCCGCAAUGGGCGAAAGCCUGACGGAGCAACGCCGCGUGAGUGAUGAAGGUCUUCGGAUCGUAAAACUCUGUUAUUAGGGAAGAACAAAUGUGUAAGUAACUAUGCACGUCUUGACGGUACCUAAUCAGAAAGCCACGGCUAACUACGUGCCAGCAGCCGCGGUAAUACGUAUGUGGCAAGCGUUAUCCGGAAUUAUUGGGCGUAAAGCGCGCGUAGGCGGUUUUUUAAGUCUGAUGUGAAAGCCCACGGCUCAACCGUGGAGGGUCAUUGGAAACUGGAAAACUUGAGUGCAGAAGAGGAAAGUGGAAUUCCAUGUGUAGCGGUGAAAUGCGCAGAGAUAUGGAGGAACACCAGUGGCGAAGGCGACUUUCUGGUCUGUAACUGACGCUGAUGUGCGAAAGCGUGGGGAUCAAACAGG